AGAUGGUGUGAUCUUCAUCGUUCUACAUUUAGGAGAGCAACAGGUAUGAUGACCUCCAGUACUCUUCCAGAUAAAUAGUGUAAUAUCCAGCUCAUAACUAUUUGUGGCUCAGACCUGACUGGACAUUUCUGCUGAUUGUGUUUCUGUGUGAAAAAGAUUCCUUUCCAUUCAUAAUAAUAUUUAUCUCUACAAUACACCACGCAUUGUAAGACUUUAUAACUCAUUAUGACCCUGAUGAUGAUUCACUUCCACACAGAAGAGUCAAAUGACGGGAAAUUUUGGACAUUUCAUCACUUUGAAUCAGUUCAUUGGGCAAAACUUAGCCAAAAGAGUGUGUUCAAAGAAUCUGCUCGUUUGUGAAUCACACUGGAACAAGAAACGCUCUUGGAUUUCAUACUUAUAGUCGGGUUUAAGCUGUGAAAUAAACAACAACAACAACAACAACCGAGUUCCUUUGUAAGCUCUGAGUAAUCAGUCUGAUUGCGACUGACCAGCUCGGCUGUGACCAUGCCCUCUUUCUCUCUCUCUCUCUGUCAAGCGCGUGCACUUGCCGGGGAUAUUUAAAAGCGAGACAUAAUUUUUUCACCUGUAGACACACACACACACACACACACACACACACACACACACACGGAGUAUCCGGUGAUACCAUGGCGGAUGAUCCACUGGUUGGUGCGGUGGACCAGGGGACCAGCUCCACGAGAUUUCUGGUGUUCAAUGCUAAAACUGGUGAGCUUGUCAGUCAGUAUCAGGUGGAAAUUACACAAAGUUUCCCCAAAGAAGGAUGGGUGGAAGAAGAUCCCAAGGAGAUCCUACAGUCUGUGUACGAGUGCAUGGAGAAAACCAGUGAGAAACUCACUCAGCUCAACAUUGACAUCGCCAACAUUAAAGCCAUUGGAGUGACCAAUCAGAGAGAGACGACGUUGGUGUGGGACAAAGAGACUGGAGAACCUCUCUACAAUGCCAUAGUGUGGCUGGACCUGAGGACUCAGUCCACUGUGGAGCAUCUCAUUGAAAAAACACCUGGAAAGAACAAAAACCACUUCAAGCAUAAGACAGGUCUGCCCAUCAGUACAUACUUCAGUGCGGUGAAGUUACGCUGGUUGAUGGACAACGUGGUGGAGGUGGAGGAGGCUGUGCACUCUCACCGCGCCAUGUUCGGAACUGUUGACUCUUGGCUUCUAUGGAGUUUAACUGGGGGGAAAAAUGGAGGCGUUCACUGCACAGACGUCACCAACGCCAGCCGCACAAUGCUGUUCAACAUACACACAAUGGAGUGGGACCUGGAUCUAUGCAGGUACUUUGAGGUUCCUGUUGAAAUCCUCCCGGAGGUUAGGAGCUCCUCAGAAAUAUACGGUUACAUGAGCUCAGGUUCACUAGUGGGCGUGCCCAUCUCUGGAUGUCUGGGAGAUCAGUCGGCUGCUCUUGUGGGACAGAUGUGCUUCAAAGAUGGUCAGGCCAAAAACACAUAUGGAACCGGUUGCUUCAUGCUGAAAAAUACUGGAGUCAAGCCUGUGAUGUCAGAACAUGGCCUCCUCACUACAAUCGCCUACAAACUGGGAAAGGACAGACCUGCUCACUAUGCACUCGAGGGAUCUGUUGCCAUUGCUGGAGCUGUAGUGAGGUGGCUGAAGGACAACCUGGGAAUCCUCAAAUCCUCUUCAGAAAUUGAAAAGCUGGCGGCGGCAGCUGGGACGUCCUAUGGCUGUUAUUUUGUUCCAGCAUUUUCUGGGCUUUACGCUCCUUACUGGGAACCUAGUGCUCGAGGGAUUAUCUGUGGCCUGACACAGUUCACAAACAGGAGCCACUUGGCUUUCGCAGCACUGGAGGCAGUGUGCUUUCAAACACGAGAGGUUUUGGAUGCGAUGAAUCGAGACAGUGGUGCUUCACUUACUCAGUUACAAGUAGAUGGAGGAAUGACGGCUAACAAAUUACUAAUGCAACUACAGGCUGAUAUCCUCUGUAUCCCUGUUGUGAGACCCUACAUGUCUGAGACCACUGCCCUGGGGGCAGCGAUGGCUGCUGGAGCAGCUGAAGGGGUCAAUGUGUGGAAGGUAAAUCCUGAAGACAUGACCUGUGUGACCUCUGAGAAAUACCAACCUCAAAUCAAACCAGAAGAGAGUGAAUUCCGAUACACAAGAUGGAAGAAAGCUGUCCAGAAAGCCAUGAACUGGGAGACUGUGGAUCCUCUGUCCAACGAGAACGCUCAGAUCGCUUAGGGAUUUCUGAACGAGUCAAAAUGAAACAGCAGAAGAACUUAACCGGCUACGAUAACACCAAUUAAAGGCUGUGAGACACAUUAAAAAAAAACACGAAACGCAAAACAAGAAUCUUCUAUUUUCAAGGUGAUGGAAAUCAAAAAAGCUUCUCACAGGCUGCUUUUCGCAGUCUUAUUGAGAAUAUACAGUCAAAUAUCAACUUAUCAAGAGAAUAUCGAACAUCAACUUACAUCAACGAACAUCAACAUCAACAACUCACUCCUAUGGGCAAUUUCGAAUUACCAAUCAACCUAAUGUACAUGUUUUUGGACUGUGGGAGGAAACCGGAGUAAAUCCACACAGGCACGGGGAGAACAUGCAAACUCCACACAGAAAAGCCCCUGCCUGUUCAAACCCGGGAUUCGGACCCAGGACCUUCUUGCUGUGAGGCACCAAUGCUAACUGCUAAGCCACCGUGCUGCCCUUUACUGAAAUGUAUUAUAAGAAACAAAAGGUUAUCAGAAGUAGACGUAUGAAGCGUGACGUAUGAAUCGUGACUUAUGAAGCAUGCUGCUGCUCACUGAAGUGUUGUGGCCUCGGGCUGUAGAGAUUGGUGCCGUGUUCAGUGUUCAUGUAAUUGGCAGAGUGCAUUUUUUUUCCCUCUCAGGUACUUGAUUGAAGAAGCGUGCUCGAGUCUGAUUACACUUUGUCUCCAUUUUCUUUCUCUCUGAUCCAAGCAGCCCCAUCAAACUCUCCUAUUUAUGAAUUAUGAAUUUACAAUCAAAUGUGUUUCAUUAAAAAGCCACAACUUUUUGUGGUCAGGCUACUGAACUGCCCUGAAAUGCUGCUUUAACACACUUUAGGUUCAUUCAUCAGUAACUAUUUAAUAAGGCCCGAGAAUUCAAAUGAGAACAAUUGUCUUAAAUCAUUGAUUUGCUUAUUCCAUGAACUGAUUGUUUUGUAUUUUCUAUUGCUCAUGUGCUCUCCGACAACAUGGUUUGAAACUCGGAGUACACAAGAAGUGAAUGUUCUGGAUGUGAGUGUGAGAUGAUGUUGGAAUGAAAAUAAUGAGUAAACUAUACAACUAGUUUAUUGAUUUUUUACUUAGGGAAAGGAUGUAAUAAAAAAAGGAGAUUUCUAAAGUAAUUACAUUAGAAACAAAGAUUAAUCAAGAGUAAAUA